GUGCUUAACACAUGCAAGUCGAACGGAAAGGCCCUGCUUUUGUGGGGUGCUCGAGUGGCGAACGGGUGAGUAACACGUGAGUAACCUGCCCUUGACUUUGGGAUAACUUCAGGAAACUGGGGCUAAUACCGGAUAGGAGCUCCUGCUGCAUGGUGGGGGUUGGAAAGUUUCGGCGGUUGGGGAUGGACUCGCGGCUUAUCAGCUUGUUGGUGGGGUAGUGGCUUACCAAGGCUUUGACGGGUAGCCGGCCUGAGAGGGUGACCGGCCACAUUGGGACUGAGAUACGGCCCAGACUCCUACGGGAGGCAGCAGUGGGGAAUAUUGCACAAUGGGCGGAAGCCUGAUGCAGCAACGCCGCGUGCGGGAUGACGGCCUUCGGGUUGUAAACCGCUUUCGCCUGUGACGAAGCGUGAGUGACGGUAAUGGGUAAAGAAGCACCGGCUAACUACGUGCCAGCAGCCGCGGUGAUACGUAGGGUGCGAGCGUUGUCCGGAUUUAUUGGGCGUAAAGGGCUCGUAGGUGGUUGAUCGCGUCGGAAGUGUAAUCUUGGGGCUUAACCCUGAGCGUGCUUUCGAUACGGGUUGACUUGAGGAAGGUAGGGGAGAAUGGAAUUCCUGGUGGAGCGGUGGAAUGCGCAGAUAUCAGGAGGAACACCAGUGGCGAAGGCGGUUCUCUGGGCCUUUCCUGACGCUGAGGAGCGAAAGCGUGGGGAGCGAACAGGCUUAGAUACCCUGGUAGUCCACGCUGUAAACGGUGGGUACUAGGUGUGGGGUCCAUUCCACGGGUUCCGUGCCGUAGCUAACGCUUUAAGUACCCCGCCUGGGGAGUACGGCCGCAAGGCUAAAACUCAAAGGAAUUGACGGGGCCCCGCACAAGCGGCGGAGCAUGCGGAUUAAUUCGAUGCAACGCGUAGAACCUUACCUGGGUUUGACAUGGAUCGGGAGUGCUCAGAGAUGGGUGUGCCUCUUUUGGGGUCGGUUCACAGGUGGUGCAUGGCUGUAGUCAGCUCGUGUCGUGAGAUGUUGGGUUAAGUCCCGCAACGAGCGCAACCCUUGUUCACUGUUGCCAGCACGUUAUGGUGGGGACUCAGUGGAGACCGCCGGGGUCAACUCGGAGGAAGGUGGGGAUGACGUCAAGUCAUCAUGCCCCUUAUGUCCAGGGCUUCACGCAUGCUACAAUGGCUGGUACAGAGAGUGGCGAGCCUGUGAGGGUGAGCGAAUCUCGGAAAGCCGGUCUCAGUUCGGAUUGGGGUCUGCAACUCGACCUCAUGAAGUCGGAGUCGCUAGUAAUCGCAGAUCAGCAACGCUGCGGUGAAUACGUUCCCGGGGCUUGUACACACCGCCCGUCAAGUCAUGAAAGUUGGUAACACCCGAAGCCGGUGGCCUAACCGUUGUGGGGGAGCCGUCGAAGGUGGGACUGGUGAUUAGGACUAAGUAGUAA
rnacentral:rRNA from 1 species